UACGGAGGGUGCGAGCGUUGUCCGGAAUCACUGGGCGUAAGGGGCGCGUAGGCGGCCUGGUAAGUAGGGGGUGAAAUCCUGCGGCUUAACCGCAGGGCUGCCUUCUAAACUGUCAGGCUCGAGCACGGUAGAGGCAGAUGGAAUUCCCGGUGUAGCGGUGGAAUGCGUAGAGAUCGGGAAGAACAUCAGUGGCGAAGGCGGUCUGCUGGGCCGUUGCUGACGCUGAGGCGCGACAGCGUGGGGAGCAAACAGG
rnacentral:rRNA from 1 species